rnacentral:rRNA from 1 species
CCUACGGGGGGCAGCAGUGGGGGAUAUUGCACAAUGGGGGGAACCCUGAUGCAGCGACGCCGCGUGGGUGAAGAAGCGCCUCGGCGCGUAAAGCCCUGUCAGCAGGGAAGAAAAUGACGGUACCUGAAGAAGAAGCCCCGGCUAACUACGUGCCAGCAGCCGCGGUAAUACGUAGGGGGCAAGCGUUAUCCGGAUUUACUGGGUGGAAAGGGGGCGCAGACGGCGAUGCAAGCCAGGAGUGAAAGCCCGGGGCCCAACCCCGGGACUGCUCUUGGAACUGCGUGGCUGGAGUGCAGGAGGGGCAGGCGGAAUUCCUGGUGGAGCGGUGAAAUGCGUAGAUAUCAGGAGGAACACCGGUGGCGAAGGCGGCCUGCUGGACUGCAACUGACGUUGAGGCCCGAAAGCAUGGGGAGCAAACAGGAUUAGAUACCCCUGUAGUC